rnacentral:tRNA from 2 species
ACCUGGCUGGCUCAGUUGGUAGAGCACAUGACUCUUGAUCUUGGGGUCAUGAGUUCAAGCCCCAUGCUAGGCG